UCAUCAAAAAGGGCUGAAGAGAUAUU
rnacentral:miRNA from 15 species